rnacentral:rRNA from 1 species
AUUGAACGCUGGCGGCAGGCCUAACACAUGCAAGUCGAGCGGCAGCGGGAAAGUAGCUUGCUACUUUUGCCGGCGAGCGGCGGACGGGUGAGUAAUGCCUGGGAAAUUGCCCAGUCGAGGGGGAUAACAGUUGGAAACGACUGCUAAUACCGCAUACGCCCUACGGGGGAAAGCAGGGGACCUUCGGGCCUUGCGCGAUUGGAUAUGCCCAGGUGGGAUUAGCUAGUUGGUGAGGUAAUGGCUCACCAAGGCGACGAUCCCUAGCUGGUCUGGGAGUAUGAUCGGCCCCACGGGAACUGAGACACGGUCCAGACUCCUACGGGAGGCAGCAGUUGGGAAUAUUGCACAAUGGGGGGAACCCUGAUGCAGCCAUGCCGGGUGUGUGAAGAAGGCCUUCGGGUUGUAAAGCACUUUCAGCGAGGAGGAAAGGUUGUUGGCUAAUACCCAGCAGCUGUGACGUUACUCGCAGAAGAAGCACCGGCUAACUCCGUGCCAGCCGCCGCAGUAAAAC